rnacentral:lncRNA from 1 species
UAACAUUAGGCAGGAACUUAAAGUUCGACUCCAAGCGCAUGCAAAAUUUCUGUGCUUCGCCAUCGAUCGAUAUGGAGUGGAUUACAUUGAUCGAUUCUCGGCGAUUAACAUCAAUCAAUAUGGAGAGGAUUACAUCGAUUGAUGUGUAGUACGGAUAGGUACUUCAUUUUUACUCUAACAUUCUCAAACAUCUAACUUGCUUUUAACCUACCCUUGGGCACUUUGCACCGAGGCGGUGCAAUUUAAGUAUGGGGUAGGUAGUUACUAACACCACUUUCUUGAGUUUUUGUCAAAAAAAAAAUCUUUUCAAAAAUAAUUUUAUUGAGUCAAGAAGGGGAUUAUGAACUAAUAAUUUCUACUUGAAUGUCUAACCACUUUCUAGCACCAUUCUAGAUUUACUGAUUGCAGAUAAUAUUAUAGAUGGUAAAGUGGAUCAACCAGUCAACUAUACACACUUACUAGCUUGUUAGAAAGAACCAAAGCUAACCUCCACCACUAACCUUACUUCACUGCUUGUCUUGGGGUUUGGUAUACAUGGGAUCGGAUUCUUCAAACAAGUCUGGAAGGUAAAGCCUUGUGUAGAAUUAUAUAUCACAUUCCUCUCUCUAAUUUUAACCCUAGAUUAGUUAGUAAUUAAUAUUUCUAUUCUAGAUAUCAAAAAAAAAAAAAAAAAAGAUCUAUUGUUUAAUUAGGAUGAGUCUGAAUAGGACUUGGUGUGUAAAACCAUUAAGGCUUGAUUCAUAAAAGACUCCAAUAAAAGAGUUCGAAACGGGACUUGGAGGUGGCAAUCUUCAAGGCUCGCUUUCACAAACAAUUCUUGGAUAUAGGUCAAAAAGAAGUGAACAGAGCUUGAUGGCAACCACCAUUAAGUUUUGAUUCAUGGAAGCCUGUCAAAUCUUGGUCACUGAUCCUGCAAUGGAAGCAGACUUUGACUCAAGAGAGAAAUUAGGAACUAACUUUUACCUGCAGUUCCAGAUACUUGUCUGAAAUCCUUGCAUCUUUUGAUCGAUACUCUCAAGGUAAAGCUUAC